UACGGGGGGGGCAAGCGUUGUUCGGAAUUACUGGGCGUAAAGGGUUCGUAGGUGGCCAACUAAGUCAGACGUGAAAUCCCCAGGCUUAACCUGGGAACUGCGUCUGAUACUGGAUGGCUUGAAUUCGGGAGAGGGAUGCAGAAUUCCAGGUGUAGCGGUGAAAUGCGUAGAUAUCUGGAGGAAUACCGGUGGCGAAGGCGGCAUCCUGGACCGACACUGACGCUCAUGCACGAAAGCGUGGGGAGCAAACAGG
rnacentral:rRNA from 1 species